CCUACGGGUGGCAGCAGUGGGGAAUAUUGCACAAUGGGGGAAACCCUGAUGCAGCGACGCCGCGUGAGUGAAGAAGUAUCUCGGUACGUAAAGCUCUAUCAGCAGGGACGAAAAUGACGGUACCUGACUAAGACGCCACGGCUAACUACGUGCCAGCAGCCGCGGUAAUACGUAGGGGGCAAGCUGUAUCCGGAUUUACAGGGUGGAAAGGGAGCGUAGACGGCAGCACAAGUCUGGAGUGAAAUCCCGGGGCGUAACCCCGGAACUGCUUUGGAAACUGUGCGGCUGGAGUGCAGGAGGGGUAAGCGGAAUUCGUAGUGUAGCGGUGAAAUGCGUAGAUAUUAGGAGGAACACCGGUGGCGAAGGCGGCUUACUGGACUGUAACUGACGUUGAGGCUCGAAAGCGUGGGGAGCAAACAGGAUUAGAUACCCUAGUAGUC
rnacentral:rRNA from 1 species